AACGAGCGCAACCCUGCAUCAGUUGCCAUCGGUAAGGCCGGGCGACUCUGGAUGGACUGCCGGCGACAAGCCGGAGGAAGGUGGGGACGACGUCAAGUCAUCAUGGCCCUUAUGUCCAGGGCGACACACGUGCUACAAUGGCCGGCACAACGGGAAGCGAAGGGGCGACCCUGAGCGGAUCCCACAAAAGCCGGUCUCAGUUCGGAUUGCAGUCUGCAACUCGACUGCAUGAAGUUGGAAUCGCUAGUAAUCGUGGAUCAGCCAAGCCGCGGUGAAUACGUUCCCGGGCCUU
rnacentral:rRNA from 1 species